UACAGAGGUCUCAAGCGUUGUUCGGAUUCAUUGGGCGUAAAGGGUGCGUAGGCGGCGCGGUAAGUCGGAUGUGAAAACUCGGGGCUUAACCCCGGGCCUGCAGUGGGUACGGGCAGACUAGAGUGCGGUAGGGGAGACUGGAAUUCCUGGUGUAGCGGUGAAAUGCGCAGAUAUCAGGAAGAACACCUAUGGCGAAGGCAGCUCUCUGGGACGGUACUGACGCUGAGACGCGAAAGCGUGGGGAGCGAACAGG
rnacentral:rRNA from 1 species